UCGCCGUGUUGGCCAGGCUAGUCUCAAACUCCUGACCUGAAGUGAUCUGCCCGCCUUUGCCUUCCAAAAUGCUGGGAUUACAGGCAUGAGCCACUGCACCCAACCAGUGUUUUAUAGUUUUAAUUACAAAGAUCUUUCACUUCUUUCAUUAAUUCCUAGAUAUUUAAUUUUAAUUGUGGCUAUUAUAAAUGGGAUUACUUUUUUAUUUCUUUUUCAGGUUUUUCAUGGAAUAUUUUUUCAUUUUUUGGUGUCCUCUUCAAUUUAUUUCAUCAGUGUUUUAUAGUUUUAAUUACAAAGAUCUUUUACUUCUUUCAUUACUUCCUAGAUAUUUAAUUUUAGUUGUGGCUAUUAUAAAUGGAUUACUUUUUAUUUCUUUUUCAGAGUUUUCACUGUUGGCAUAUAGGAAUGCUACUGAUUUUUGCAUGUUGAUGUUGUAUCCUGCAACAUUACUGAAUUUAUUAUUUCUGACAGUUUUCUUGUGGAUUCUUUGUGUUUUUCCAAAUAUAAGAUUAUUUCAUCUGCAAACAAGGAUAAUUUGACUUCUUCCUUUCCAAGAGAAUGUCCAUAAACAUAGCCACCAUUC
rnacentral:lncRNA from 1 species